AAGCUAACGUGGAUGGGUCGAUGGGCGAUUAAGAUGGUCCAUGGCCUAGGUUAACGGCCUCCAUUGCACACCGGUCGGUGUGUUGGCCUAUGGUUUAAUCAUUGCAGUGGACCCAUGUCAUGAUCUGUGUUCGCAAGAGCCUCACAAAUAUGAACUCAAA
rnacentral:snRNA from 15 species